GAACGCUGGCGGCGUGCCUAAUACAUGCAAGUCGAACGAGAGCGACCGGUGCUUGCACUGGUCAAUCUAGUGGCGAACGGGUGAGUAACACGUGGGUAACCUGCCCAUCAGAGGGGGAUAACAUUCGGAAACGGAUGCUAAAACCGCAUAGGUCUUCGAACCGCAUGGUUUGAAGAGGAAAAGAGGCUUCGGCUUCUGCUGAUGGAUGGACCCGCGGUGCAUUAGCUAGUUGGUGAGGUAACGGCUCACCAAGGCCGUGAUGCAUAGCCGACCUGAGAGGGUGAUCGGCCACAUUGGGACUGAGACACGGCCCAAACUCCUACGGGAGGCAGCAGUAGGGAAUCUUCCGCAAUGGACGCAAGUCUGACGGAGCAACGCCGCGUGAGUGAAGAAGGAUUUCGGUUCGUAAAACUCUGUUGUUAGAGAAGAACAGCGCAUAGAGUAACUGUUAUGCGUGUGACGGUAUCUAACCAGAAAGCCACGGCUAACUACGUGCCAGCAGCCGCGGUAAUACGUAGGUGGCAAGCGUUGUCCGGAUUUAUUGGGCGUAAAGCGAGCGCAGGCGGUCAAUUAAGUCUGAUGUGAAAGCCCCCGGCUCAACCGGGGAGGGUCAUUGGAAACUGGUUGACUUGAGUGCAGAAGAGGAGAGUGGAAUUCCAUGUGUAGCGGUGAAAUGCGUAGAUAUAUGGAGGAACACCAGUGGCGAAGGCGACUCUCUGGUCUGUAACUGACGCUGAGGCUCGAAAGCGUGGGUAGCAAACAGGAUUAGAUACCCUGGUAGUCCACGCCGUAAACGAUGAGUGCUAAGUGUUGGAGGGUUUCCGCCCUUCAGUGCUGCAGU
rnacentral:rRNA from 1 species